rnacentral:rRNA from 1 species
UGCUGAAGCAACAAAUGCCCUGCUUCCAGGAAAAGCCUCUAAGCAUCAGGUAACACGAAAUCGUACCCCAAACCGACACAGGUGGUCAGGUAGAGAAUACCAAGGCGCUUGAGAGAACUCGGGUGAAGGAACUAGGCAAAAUGGUGCCGUAACUUCGGGAGAAGGCACGCUGACACGUAGGUGAAGUGAUUUACUCAUGGAGCUGAAGUCAGUCGAAGAUACCAGCUGGCUGCAACUGUUUAUUAAAAACACAGCACUGUGCAAACACGAAAGUGGACGUAUACGGUGUGACGCCUGCCCGGUGCCGGAAGGUUAAUUGAUGGGGUCAGCGUAAGCGAAGCUCCUGAUCGAAGCCCCGGUAAACGGCGGCCGUAACUAUAACGGUCCUAAGGUAGCGAAAUUCCUUGUCGGGUAAGUUCCGACCUGCACGAAUGGCGUAAUGAUGGCCAGGCUGUCUCCACCCGAGACUCAGUGAAAUUGAACUCGCUGUGAAGAUGCAGUGUACCCGCGGCAAGACGGAAAGACCCCGUGAACCUUUACUAUAGCUUGACACUGAACAUUGAGCCUUGAUGUGUAGGAUAGGUGGGAGGCUUUGAAGUGUGGACGCCAGUCUGCAUGGAGCCGACCUUGAAAUACCACCCUUUAAUGUUUGAUGUUCUAACGUGGACCCGUAAUCCGGGUUGCGGACAGUGUCUGGUGGGUAGUUUGACUGGGGCGGUCUCCUCCUAAAGAGUAACGGAGGAGCACGAAGGUUGGCUAAUCCUGGUCGGACAUCAGGAGGUUAGUGCAAUGGCAUAAGCCAGCUUGACUGCGAGCGUGACGGCGCGAGCAGGUGCGAAAGCAGGUCAUAGUGAUCCGGUGGUUCUGAAUGGAAGGGCCAUCGCUCAACGGAUAAAAGGUACUCCGGGGAUAACAGGCUGAUACCGCCCAAGAGUUCAUAUCGACGGCGGUGUUUGGCACCUCGAUGUCGGCUCAUCACAUCCUGGGGCUGAAGUAGGUCCCAAGGGUAUGGCUGUUCGCCAUUUAAAGUGGUACGCGAGCUGGGUUUAGAACGUCGUGAGACAGUUCGGUCCCUAUCUGCCGUGGGCGCUGGAGAACUGAGGGGGGCUGCUCCUAGUACGAGAGGACCGGAGUGGACGCAUCACUGGUGUUCGGGUUGUCAUGCCAAUGGCACUGCCCGGUAGCUAAAUGCGGAAGAGAUAAGUGCUGAAAGCAUCUAAGCACGAAACUUGCCCCGAGAUGAGUUCUCCCUGAGACUUAGAGUCUCCUGAAGGAACGUUGAAGACGACGACGUUGAUAGGCCGGGUGUGUAAGCGCAGCGAUGCGUUGAGCUAACCGGUACUAAUGAACCGUGAGGCUUAACCUU